CAACAGUGCACACGGCUUGUCAGCGCGGUAGUUCGACACAAGGGUUUGGUAAACAGCACCACUUUUGCUAAAUUU
rnacentral:lncRNA from 1 species